rnacentral:rRNA from 1 species
UACAGAGGGGGCAAGCGUUAUUCGGAAUUAUUGGGCGUAAAGGGCGCGUAGGCGGCUUGGCAAGUGGAAGGUGAAAUCCCUCGGCUUAACCGAGGAACUGCCCUCCAAACUGCUUCGCUUGAGACCGGGAGAGGUGAGUGGAAUUCCCAGUGUAGCGGUGAAAUGCGUAGAUAUUGGGAGGAACACCGGUGGCGAAAGCGCUCAUCUGGCCCAAUACUGACGCUGCAGCGCGAAAGCUAGGGGAGCAAACGGG